rnacentral:rRNA from 1 species
CCUACGGGAGGCAGCAGUGGGGGAUAUUGCACAAUGGGGGGAACCCUGAUGCAGCGACGCCGCGUGGGUGAAGAAGCGCCUCGGCGCGUAAAGCCCUGUCAGCAGGGAAGAAAAUGACGGUACCUGAAGAAGAAGCCCCGGCUAACUACGUGCCAGCAGCCGCGGUAAUACGUAGGGGGCAAGCGUUAUCCGGAUUUACUGGGUGUAAAGGGGGCGCAGACGGCGAUGCAAGCCAGGAGGGAAAGCCCGGGGGCCAACCCCGGGACUGCUCUGGGAACUGCGUGGCUGGAGUGCAGGAGGGGCAGGCGGAAUUCCAGGUGGAGCGGUGAAAUGCGUAGAUAUCAGGAGGAACACCGGUGGCGAAGGCGGCCUGCUGGACUGCAACUGACGUUGAGGCCCGAAAGCGUGGGGAGCAAACAGGAUUAGAUACCCCUGUAGUC